rnacentral:ncRNA from 1 species
CCAUCAACGAUGAAAGGGACAGUAGCUCUUGCACGACCGGUCGCAGCGAGCCGGGGAUGGUGGAAGCCCGGCACCGGCGCAAGAGUGAACAUCACCCUGGAGUUCCAUGCCGAAACAACGAGUAGGCCAUGGCGCGUCAUUCCCGUUACGAAUGAAAAGUGGGCCUGUGCCUUUGCAUGGCCAAAAAGGGUGGUACCGCGAGACCGUUCUCGUCCCUUGC